UGCCCUAGUAACGGCGAGUGAAGCGGCAACAGCUCAAAUUUGAAAUCUGGCUCUCGGGCCCGAGUUGUAAUUUGUAGAGGAUACUUUUGAUGCGGUGCCUUCCGAGUUCCCUGGAACGGGACGCCAUAGAGGGUGAGAGCCCCGUCUGGUUGGAUGCCAAAUCUCUGUAAAGUUCCUUCGACGAGUCGAGUAGUUUGGGAAUGCUGCUCUAAAUGGGAGGUAUAUGUCUUCUAAAGCUAAAUAUUGGCCAGAGACCGAUAGCGCACAAGUAGAGUGAUCGAAAGAUGAAAAGCACUUUGAAAAGAGAGUUAAAAAGUACGUGAAAUUGUUGAAAGGGAAGCGUUUAUGACCAGACUUGGACUUGGUUAAUCAUCUGGGGUUCUCCCCAGUGCACUUCUCCAGUUCAGGCCAGCAUCAGUUUUCGCCGGGGGAUAAAGGCAGCGGGAAUGUGGCUCUCUUCGGGGAGUGUUAUAGCCCGUUGUGUAAUACCCUGGUGGGGACUGAGGUUCGCGCUUCUGCAAGGAUGCUGGCGUAAUGGUCAUCAACGACCCGUCUUGAAACACGGACCAAGGAGUCGUCUUCGUAUGCGAGUGUUCGGGUGUCAAACCCCUACGCGUAAUGAAAGUGAACGCAGGUGAGAGCUUCGGCGCAUCAUCGACCGAUCCUGAUGUUCUCGGAUGGAUUUGAGUAAGAGCAUACGGGGCCGGACCCGAAAGAAGGUGAACUAUGCCUGUAUAGGGUGAAGCCAGAGGAAACUCUGGUGGAGGCUCGCAGCGGUUCUGACGUGCAAAUCGAUCGUCAAAUAUGGGCAUG
rnacentral:rRNA from 2 species